AGUGAACGCUGGCGGUAGGCCUAACACAUGCAAGUCGAACGGCAGCACAGUAAGAGCUUGCUCUUACGGGUGGCGAGUGGCGGACGGGUGAGGAAUACAUCGGAAUCUACUUUUUCGUGGGGGAUAACGUAGGGAAACUUACGCUAAUACCGCAUACGACCUACGGGUGAAAGCAGGGGAUCUUCGGACCUUGCGCGAAUGAAUGAGCCGAUGUCGGAUUAGCUAGUUGGCGGGGUAAAGACCCACCAAGGCGACGAUCCGUAGCUGGUCUGAGAGGAUGAUCAGCCACACAGGAACUGAGACACGGUCCAGACUCCUACGGGAGGCAGCAGUGGGGAAUAGUGGACAAUGGGCGCAAGCCUGAUCCAGCCAUACCGCGUGGGUGAAGAAGGCCUUAGGGUUGUAAAGCCCUUUUGUUGGGAAAGAAAAGCAGCAGGUUAAUACGUCGCUGUUCUGACGGUACCCAAAGAAUAAGCACCGGCUAACUUCGUG
rnacentral:rRNA from 1 species